UCUUAGAGAGAAGAGCUGCUCCUUCUCCUUCCUCCCGACUAGGAAUUUCCUGGGUUCCCCCCAAAGCCAGGAUGAAAAGUUUCUUCAUUCUCAUCUUCUUCUCUUUCAUGCUGGCUACGUGUCAAGGAAAAUGUUAUUUGAAUCCUUUGCUACCUGAGUAUAAAGAUGGCAAAACGGUGUGGCCCACCUCAUGUGUCUAUGAUGGGAGGGAGCAUCCCAUUGGGUCCACCUGGGACGCAGAUCUUGACUACCGUUGUGAGUGCAUUAUACAAGGAUCCCAGUGUUGCGAAAAGUCUCCUGCAACACAGAAACCUAUAGCGCUGCCUGUCAACCUUUAGAGCACCAGGGACUGGAGACAAAUUUUCCAUGAACCAGAGGAUAUGAUGAGGUCCCAGAUCGUCCGAGAUGCUUUGCAAUGGCUAAUGCAGAAACAUGUGGAUAUGAUUUCUGUAAGGUUGAUGCCCCAUUACAGCGUUGUUAAGCUUGCUGGAUUCUCUCCUCUUCACAUGGGUGAACUUGAAUCAACCUCUCCUGUUUGAAUGAACCUGAAUAAAUUCCUCCUCUCAAUA